ACGCUGGCGGCGUGCUUAACACAUGCAAGUCGAGCGAUGAAGUUUCUUCGGAAAUGGAUUAGCGGCGAACGGGUGAGGAACACGUGAAGAAUCUGCCCUCCACUUUGGGAUAACACCGGGAAACCGGUGCUAAUACCGAAUAUUGAAACAUAAGUGGUAUCACUGAGUUUUGAAAGAAUUUCGGCGGUACGGGAUGGGCAUGCGUAACAUUAGCUAGUUGGUAAGGUAACGGCUUACCAAGGCUUUGAUGUUUAGGGGUCCUGAGAGGGUGGUCCCCCACACUGGUACUGAGACACGGACCAGACUCCUACGGGAGGCAGCAGUGAGGAAUAUUGGUCAAUGGGCGCAAGCCUGAACCAGCCAUCCCGCGUGCAGGAAGACGGCCCUAUGGGUUGUAAACUGCUUUUCCAGGGGGAGAAACUUGCGCACGUGUUGCGCAAUUGACGGUACCCUGGGAAUAAGCAUCGGCUAACUCCGUG
rnacentral:rRNA from 1 species